UAUUGAGUAUCAAUUGGUAAAUUUAUUUUUAAUAUUAAAUCUCUUCACUCUCUAUUUGACAUUUUUAUCAUAAAACCUACUAAGUCAAAACAAAUGCACAUUUUUUUCUAAUGCACUUUUUUUUUUCUAUUCUACUGUAUAAAAUAAGUUUAGAUAAUAAAGGUUUUAUUAUAUUAUAAUGAGAAAUAACAAAGAUCUCAAAACGUCUAAUAUAAUAUCCAUAAUAGAAUACCACUCACUAUUCUAACAUCAAGAUAUUAAUAAAGUGCAACUUAAAUACUUCUCCUUCCUCUUAAAUCAAACAUUAAAUUAGUUGUAACUAAUUAUUAUUUCUAUAUAAUAAAUAAUAAUUAAUAAUUUAAAAAGUAAUAUAAUCAAUAGAAUUAAUUACUUGAUUUUACUAUUGUAUAUUAUUUAUGGAAGGAUGAGUAAAAUCAGGCCGUUGAUAAAAUAAAGUAUAUAUAUUAGACAAACAAAUUUAGAUAUCCAAUAAUUAAUCUAAUUAUUUCAAUGAAUACCCGUUUUUACUAUUGUAUAUUAUUUAUGAAAGGAAUGAGUAAAAUCAGGUCGUUGAUAAUAUAAGUAUAUAUAUGAGACAAACAAAUUUAGAUAUCCAAUAAUUAAUCUAAUUAUUCUCUGAAUACCCGUUUAUAUUCGGAUCAAAAAUAAACAUAUGUUUAUAUUUUAUGCAAUUUUAUAUUUUUAUGCGUAUACUUUUCUCUACCCAAUUUUAAUAUUUACAAAAUUUAAAAGAGAAAGUGGAAUACAAGUUAGGUGUUUUCAUGGAAACGUUAAAAUUGAGAGGUAUAUUUGGGUGUGAGUUAACGUUGAGCUUUAAACGCUAGCGGUAUUUUGUUAGGUUUUAAAAUUCAAUAUUGGUGGGUUCAGUUUAAUGUUUUGAUUGAAAGUAAUAUAUGCUUAGGUUGUCUGUGUUUGGUUGGAUCUAUCCACAGUCGGCAUAUUGAGUAUCAAUUGGUAAUUAUUUUUAAUAUUAAAUCUCUCCACUCUCAUAUGACAUUUUUAUCAUAAAACCUACUAAGUCAAAACUAAUGCACAUUUUUUUUCUAAUGCACUUUUUUUUCUAUUCUACUGUAUAAAUAUUUAGAUAAUAAAUGUUUAUUAUAUUAUAAUGAGAAAUAACAAAGACUCUCAAAGGUCUAAUAUAUAUCCAUAAUAGAAUACCACUCACUUCAACAUCAAGAUAUUAAUAAAGUGCCACUUAAAUACUUCUCCUUCCUCUCAAAUUAAACAUUACCUUAGUUGUAACUAAUUUAGUUAAUAUAAUAAAUAAUAAUUAAUAACUUAAAAAGUAAUAUAAUCAAUAGAAUUAAUUACUUGACUUUACAAUUGUAUAUUAUUUAUGGAAGGAUGACUAAAAUUAGGCCGUUGAUAAAAUAAAGUAUAUAAUAUGAGACAAACAUUUAGAACCCAAUAUUUAAUCUAAUUAUUUCUAUGAAUACCCGUUAUUUAUUCGGAUCAAAAAUAAACCUAAUGUUAUAUUUUUAUGCAAUUUAUAUUUUUAUCGUAUACUUUUCUACUAUCCCAAUUUAAUAUUUACAAAAAUUUAAAAGAGAAAAGUGGAUACAAGUUAGUGUUUUUCAUGGAAACAUUAAAAUUGGAGAGUAUAUUUGGGUGUGUGAGUUAAGUUGAAGCUUUUAAACGUAGCGGUAUUUUUGUUAGGUUCUUAAAUUAAUAUUGGUGAGGUUUCAGUUUAAUGUUUUGAAUUGAAAGGUAAUAUUGCUUAGGUUGUCUGUGUUUGGUUGGAUCUAUUCACAGUCGGCAUAUUGAGUAUCAAUUGGUAAAUUUAUUUUUAAUAUUAAAUCUCUCCACUCUCUAUUUGACAUUUUUAUCAUAAAACCUACUAAGUCAAAACUAAUGCACUUUUUUUUCUAAUGCACUUUUUUUUCUAUCUAUCUGUAUAAAAUAAGUUUAGAUAAUAAAGGUUUAUUUAUUAAAAUGAGAAAUAACAAAGAUCUCAAAAGGUCUAAUAUAAUAUCCAUAAUAGAAUACCACUCACUAUUCUAACAUCAAGAUAUUAAUAAAGUCCACUUAAAUACUUCUCCUUCCUCUCAAAUCAAACAUUACCUUAGUUGUAACUAAUUAUUAGUUUUAUAUAAAAAUAAUAAUAAUAACUUAAAAAGUAAUAUAAUCAAUAAAAUUAAUUACUUGACUUAACUAUUGUAUAUUAUUUAUGAGGGAUGAGUAAAAUCAGGGUUGAUAAAAUAAAGUAAUAUAUGAGACAAACAAAUUUAGAUAUCCAAUAAUUAAUCUAAUUAUUCUCUGAAUACCCGUUUAUAUUCGAUCAAAAAUAAACAUAAUGUUAUAUUUUUAUGCAAUUUUAUUUUAGCGUAUACUUUUCUACUAUCCCAAUUUUAAUAUUUACAAAAAUUUAAAAGAGAAAGUGGAUACAAGUUAGGUGUUUUCAUGGAAACGUUAAAAUUGAGAGUAUAUUUGGUUGUGAGUUAGUUGAAGCUUUUAAACGCUAGCGUAUUUUUUGUAGGUUCUUAAAAUUAAUAUUGGUGAGGUUCAGUUUAAUGUUUUGAAUUGAAAGGUAAUAUGCUUAGGUUGUCUGUGUUUGGUUGAUCUAUCCACAGUGGCAUAUUGAGUAUCAAUUGGUAAAUUUAUUUUAAAUAUAAAUCUCUCCACUCUCUAUUUGACAUUUUUAUCAUAAAACCUACUAAGUCAAAACAAUGCACAUUUUUUCUAAUGCACUUUUUUUCUAUCUACUGUAUAAAAUAAGUUUAGAUAAUAAAUGUUUAUUAUAUUAUAAUGAGAAAUAACAAAGAUCUCAAAAGGUCUAAUAUAUAUCCAUAAUAGAAUACCACUCACUAUUCUAACAUCAAGAUAUUAAUAAAGUGCCACUUAAAUACUUCUCCUUCCUCUCAAAUAAACAUUACCUGUUGUAACUAAUUAUAUUUUAUAUAAUAAAUAAUAAUUAAUAUUAAAAAGUAAUAUAAUCAAUAGAAUUAAUUACUUGACUUACUAUGUAAUAUAUUUAUGAAAGGAUGAGUAAAAUCAGGCGUUGAUAAAAUAAAGUAUAUAUAUGAGACAAACAAAUUUAGAUAUCCAAUAUUAAUCUAAUUAUUUCUCGAAUACCCGUUAUAUUUCGGAUCAAAAAAUAAACAUAAUGUUAUAUUUUAUGCAUUUAUAUUUUAUGCGUAUACUUUUCUACUAUCCCAAUUUAAAUAUUACAAAAAUUUAAAAGAGAAAGUGGAUACAAGUUAGGUGUUUUCAUGGAAACAAAAUUGGGAGUAUAUUUGGGUUGUGAGUUAAGUUGAAGCUUUUAAACGCUAGCGGUAUUUUUGUGAGGUUCAGUUUAAUGUUUUGAAUUGAAAGGUAAUAUUGCUUAGGUUGUCUGUGUUGGUUGGAUCUAUCCACAGUCGGCAUAUUGAGUAUCAAUUGGUAAAUUAUUUUUAAUAAAUCUCUCCACUCUCUAUUUGACAUUUUAUCAUAAAACCUACUAAGUCAAAACUAAUGCACAUUUUUUUCUAAUGCACUUUUUUUUUCUAUUCUACUGUAUAAAAAUAAGUUUAGAUAAUAAAUGUUUUAUUAUAUUAUAAUGAGAAAUAACAAAGAUCUCAAAAGGUCUAAUAUAUAUCCAUAAUAGAAUACCACUCACUAUUCUAACAUCAAGAUAUAAUAAAGUCCACUAAAAUACUUUCCUUCCUCUCAAAUUAACAUUACUUAGUUGUAACUAAUUAUUAUUUAUAUAAUAAAUAAUAAUUAAUAACUUAAAAAUAAUAUAAUCAAUAGAAUAUUACUUGACUUAAAUUGUAUAUUAUUUAUGGAAGGAGACUAAAAUCAGGCCGUUGAUAAAAUAAAGUAUAUAUAUGAGACAAACAAUUAUAGAUACCAAUAUUAAUCUAAUUAUUUCUAUGAAUACCCGUAUUUAUCGGAUCAAAAUAAACCUAAUGUUAUAUUUUUAUGCAAUUUAUAUGUUACGUAUACUUUCUACUAUCCCAAUUUUAAUAUUUACAAAAAUUUAAAAGAGAAAGUGGAUAAGUUAGUGUUUUCAUGGAAACAUUAAAAUUGGAGAGUAUAUUUGGGUGUGAGUUAAGUUGAAGCUUAAACCUAGCGUAUUUUGUUUAGGUCUUUAAAUUUAAUAUUGGUGAGGUUCAGUUUAAUGUUUUGAAUUGAAAUAAUAUUGCUUAGGUUGUCUGUGUUUGGUUGGAUCUAUUCACAGUCGGCAUAUUGAGUAUCAAUGGUAAAUUAUUUUUAAUAUUAAAUCCUCCCACUCUCUAUUUGCAUUUUUAUCAUAAAACCUACUAAGUCAAAACUAAUGCACUUUUUUUUCUAAUGCACUUUUUUUCUAUCUACUACUGUAUAAAAUAAGUUUAGAUAAUAAAGGUUUUAUUUAUAUAUAAUGAGAAAUAACAAGAUCUCAAAAGGUCUAAUAUAAUAUCCAUAAUAGAAUACCACUCACUAUCUAACAUCAAGAUAUUAAUAAAGUCCACUUAAAUACUUCUCCUUCCUCUCAAAUCAAACAUUACCUUAGUUGUAACUAAUUAUUAUUUAUAUAAUAAAUAAUAUUAAUAAUUUAAAAGUAAAUAAUCAAUAAAAUUAAUUACUUGACUUUACUAUUGUAUAUUAUUUAUGGAAGGAUGAGUAAAAUCAGGCGUUGAAUAAAAAAAGUAUAUAUAUGAGACAAACAAUUUAGAUAUCCAAUAAUUAAUCUAAUUAUUCUCUGAAUACCCGUUUAUUAUUCGAUCACAAAUAAACUAAUGUUAUUUUUUAGCAAUUUAUAUUUUUAUGCGUAUACUUUUCUACUAUCCCAAUUUUAAUAUUUACAAAAAUUUAAAAGAGAAAGUGGAUACAAGUUAGGUGUUUUAAUGGAAACUUAAAAUGGAGAGUAUAUUGGGUUGGAGUUAGUUGAAGCUUUUAAACGCUAGCGGUAUUUUGUUAGUUCUUAAAAUUAAUAUUGGUGAGGUUUCAGUUUAAUGUUUUGAAUGAAAGGUAAUAUUGCUUAGGUUGUCUGUGUUUGGUUGAAUCUAUUCCACAGUGCAUAUUGAGUAUCAAUUGGUAAAUUUAUUUUAAUAUUAAAUCUCUCCACUCUAUUUGACAUUUUUAUCAUAAACCUACUAAGUAACAAACUAAUGCACAUUUUUUUUCUAAUGCACUUUUUUUUCUAUCUACUGUAUAAAAUAAGUUUAGAUAAUAAAUGUUUUAUAUAUUAUAAUGAGAAAUAACAAAGAUCUCAAAAGGUCUAAUAUUAUCCAUAAUGAAUACCACUCACUAUUCUAACAUCAAGAUAUUAAUAAAGUGCCACUUAAAUACUUCUCCUUCCUCUCAAAUAAACAUUACCUUAGUUGUAACUAAUUAUUAUUAUAUAAUAAAUAAUAAUUAAUAAUUAAAGUAAUAUAAUCAAUAGAAUUAAUUACUUGACUUUACAAUUGUAUAUUAUUUAUGGAAGAUGAUAAAAUUAGGCCGUUGAUAAAAUAAAGUAUAUAUAUGAGACAAACAAAUUUAGAUAUCCAUAAUUAAUCUAAUUAUUCUCUGAAUACCCGUUUAUUAUUCGGAUCAAAAAUAAACAUAUGUUAUAUUUUUUAUGCAAUUUUAUAUUUUUAUGCGAUACUUUCUACUAUCCCAUUUUAAUAUUUACAAUUUAAAGAGAAAUGGAUACAAGUUAGGUGUUUUCAUGGAAACAUUAAAAUUGGAGAGUAUAUUUGGGUUGUGAGUUAAGUUGAAGCUUUUAAACGCUAGCGGUAUUUUGUUAGGUUCUUAAAAUUAAUAUUGGUGAGGUUUCAGUUUAAUUUUUGAAUUGAAAGUAAUAUUGCUUAGGUUGUCUGUGUUUGGUUGGAUCUAUCCACAGUCGGCAUAUUGAGUAACAUUGGUAAAUUUUUUUUAAUAUUAAAUCUCUCCACUCUCUAUUUGACAUUUUUAUCAUAAACCUACUAAGUCAAACUAAUGCACAUUUUUUCUAAUGCACUUUUUUUUCUAUUCUACUGUAUAAAAUAAGUUUAGAUAAUAAAUGUUUAUUAUAUAUAAUGAGAAAUAACAAAGAUCUCAAAAGGUCUAAUAAUAUCCAUAAUAGAAUACCACUCACUAUUCUAACAUCAAGAUAUUAAUAAAGUGCCACUUAAAUACUUCCUUCCUCUCAAAUCAAACAUUACCUUAGUUGUAACUAAUUAUUAGUUUUAUAUAAUAAUAUAAUAAUAAUUAAAAGUAAUAUAAUCAAUAGAAUUAAUUACUUGACUUUACAUUGUAUAUUAUUUAUGGAAGGAUGACUAAAAUCAGGCCGUUGAAAAAUAAAGUAUAUAAUGAGACAAACAAUUUAGAUACCAAUAUUAAUCUAAUUAUUUCUAUGAAUACCCGUUAUUAUUCGGAUCAAAAUAAACUAAUGUUAUAUUUAUGCAAUUUAUUGUUUAUCGUAUACUUUUCUACUAUCCCAAUUUUAAUAUUACAAAAAUUAAAAGAGAAAGUGGACAAGUUAGUGUUUUCAUGGAAACUUAAAUUGGAGAGUAUAUUUGGGUUGUGAGUUAGUUGAGCUUUUAAACGCUAGCGGUAUUUGUUAGUUUAAAAUUAAUAUUGGUGAGGUUCAGUUUAAUGUUUGAAUUGAAAGGUAAUAUUGCUUAGGUUGUCUGUGUUUGGUUGGAUCUAUCCAAGUCGGCAUAUUGAGUAUCAAUUGGUAAAUUUAUUUUAAUAUUAAAUCUCUCCACUCUCUAUUUGACAUUUUAUCAUAAACCCUACUAAGUCAAAACUAAUGCACAUUUUUUUCUAAUGCACUUUUUUUUCUAUCUACUGUAUAAAAUAAGUUUAGAUAAUAAAUGUUUUAUAUUAUAAUGAGAAAUAACAAAGAUCUCAAAAGGUCUAAUAUAUAUCCAUAAUAGAAUACCACUCACUAUCUAACAUCAAGAUAUUAAUAAAGUGCCACUUAAAUACUUCUCCUUCCUCUCAAUUAAACAUUACCUUAGUUGUAACUAAUUAUUAGUUUUAUAUAAUAAAUAAUAAUUAAUAACUUAAAAAGUAAUAUAAUCAAUAGAAUUAAUUACUUGACUCAAUUGUAUAUUAUUUAUGGAAGGGAUAAAAUAGGCCGUUGAUAAAAUAAGUAUAUAUAUGAGACAAACAAAUUUAGAUAUCCAAUAAUUAAUCUAAUUAUUCUCUUGAAUACCCGUUUAUUAUUCGGAUCAAAAAUAAACAUAAUGUUAUAUUUUUAUGCAAUUUUAUAUUUUUAGCGUAUACUUUCUACUAUCCCAUUUUAAUAUUUACAAAAAUUUAAAAGAGAAAGUGGAAUACAAGUUAGGUGUUUUCAUGGAAACGUUAAAAUGGAGAGUAUAUAUUGGGUUGUGAGUUAAGUUGAAGCUUUUAAACGCUAGCGGUAUUUUUGUUAGGUUCUUAAAAUUUAAUAUUGGUGAGGUUUCAGUUUAAUUUUUUGAAUUGAAAGGUAAUAUUGCUUAGGUUGUCUGUGUUUGGUUGGAUCUAUUCCACAGUCGGCAUAUUGAGUAUCAAUUGGUAAAUUUAUUUUUAAUAUUAAAUCUCUCCACUCUCUAUUUGACAUUUUAUCAUUAAACCUACUAAGUCAAAACUAAUGCACAUUUUUUCUAAUGCACUUUUUUUUCUAUUCUACUGUAUAAAAUAAGUUUAGAUAAUAAAUGUUUAUUUAUUAUAAUGAGAAAUAACAAAGAUCUCAAAAGGUCUAAUAUAUUCCAUAAUAGAAAUCCACUCACUAUUCUAACAUCAAGAUAUUAAUAAAGUGCCACUUAAAUACUUCUCCUUCCUCUCAAAUUAAACAUUACCUUAGUUGUAACUAAUUAUUAUUUAUAUAAUAAAUAAUAAUUAAUAAUAAAAAGUAAUAUAAUCAAUAGAAUUAAUUACUUGACUUUACAAUUGUAUAUAUAUUAUGGAAGGAUGACUAAAUUAGGCCGUUGAUAAAAUAAAGUAUAUAUAUGAGACAAACAAUUUAGAAUACCAAUAAUUAAUCUAAUUAUUUCUAUGAAUACCCGUUAUUUAUUCGGAUCAAAAUAAACCUAAUGUAUAUAUUUUAUCAAUUUAUAUUUUAUCGUAUACUUUCUACUAUCCCAAUUUUAAUAUUUACAAAAAUUUAAAAGAGAAAGUGGAUACAAGUUAGUGUUUCAUGGAAACAUUAAAAUUGGAGAGUAUAUAUUGGUUGUGAGUUACUUGAAGCUUUUAAACGCUAGCGGUAUUUUGUUAGGUUCUUAAAAUUAAAUAUUGGUGAGGUUCAGUUUAAUGUUUGAAUUGAAAGGUAAUAUUGCUUAGGUUGUCUGUGUUUGGUUGGAUCUAUCCACAGUCGGCAUAUUGAGUACAAUUGGUAAAUUUAUUUUUAAUAUUAAAUCUCUCCACUCUCUAUUUGACAUUUUUAUCAUAAAACCUACUAAGUCAAAACUAAUGCACAUUUUUUUUCUAAUGCAUUUUUUUUCUUAUCUACUGUAUAAAAUAAGUUUAGAUAAUAAAUGUUUUAUUAUAUUAUAAUGAGAAAUAACAAAGAUCUCAAAAGGUCUAAUAUAUAUCCAUAAUAGAAUACCACUCACUAUCUAACAUCAAGAUAUUAAUAAAGUGCCACUUAAAUACUUCUCCUUCCUCUCAAAUUAAACAUUACCUUAGUUGUAACUAAUUAUUAGUUUAUAUAAUAAAUAAUAAUUAAUAAUUUAAAAAGUAAUAUAAUCAAUAGAAUUAAUUACUUGACUUUACAUUGUAUAUUAUUUUGGAAGGAUGACUAAAAUUAGUGCCGUUGAUAAAUAAAGUAUAUAUAUGAGACAAACAAUUUAGAUAUCCAAUAAUUAAACUAAUUUUUCUUGAAUACCCGUUUAUAUUCGGAUCCAAAGAAAUAACUAAUGUAUAUUUUUAUGCAUUUAUAUUUUUAUGCGUAUACUUUUCUACUAUCCCAAUUUAAUAUUUACAAAAUUUAAAAGAGAAAGUGGAUACAAGUUAGGUUUUCAUGGAAACGUAAAAUUGGANNNNNNNNNNNNNNNNNNNNNNNNNUAUUUAUUCGAUCAAAAAUAAACUAAUGUUAUUUUUAUGCAAUUUUUAUAUUUAUACGUAUACUUUUCUACCUAUCCCAAUUUUAAUUUUACAAAAAUUUAAAAGAGAAGUGGAUACAAGUUAGUGUUUUCAUGGAACUUAAAAUUGGAGAGUAUAUUUGGGUGUGAAGUUACGUUGAAGCUUUAAACGCUAGCGGUAUUUUUGUAGGUUCUUAAAAUUAAUAUUGGUGAGGUUCAGUUUAAUGUUUUGAAUUGAAGGUAAUAUUGCUUAGGUUGUCUGUGUUUGGUUGGAUCUAUCCACAGUCGGCAUAUUGAGUAUCAAUUGGUAAAUUUAUUUUAAAUUAAACUCUCCACUCUCUAUUUGACAUUUUAUCAUAAAACCUACUAAGUCAAAACUAAUGCACAUUUUUUUUCUAAUGCACUUUUUUUUUCUAUUCUACUGUAUAAAAUAAGUUUAGUAAUAAAUGUUUUAUUAUUAUAAUGAGAAAUAACAAGAUCUCAAAAGGUCUAAUAUAUAUCCAUAAUAGAAUACCACUCACUAUUCUAACAUCAAGAUAUUAAUAAAGUGCCACUUAAAUACUUCUCCUUCCUCUCAAAUUAAACAUUACCUUAGUUGUAACUAAUUAUUAGUUUUAUAUAAUAAAUAAUAUUAAUAAUUAAAAGUAAUAUAUCAAUAGAAUUAAUUACUUGACUUUACUAUUGUAUAUUAUUUAUGGAAGGAUGAUAAAAUAGGCCGUUGAUAAAUAAAGUAAUAUAUGAGACAAACAAAUUUAGAUAUCCAAUAAUUAAUCUAAUAUAUCUCUGAAUACCCGUUUAUUUAUUCGGAUCAAAAAAUAAACUAAUGUUAUAUUUUUAUGCAAUUUUAUAUUUUUAUGCGUAUACUUUUCUACUAUCCCAAUUUUAAUAUUUACAAAAAUUUAAAAGAGAAAGUGGAUACAAGUUAGGUGUUUUCAUGGAAACUUAAAAUUGGAGAGUAUAUUUGGGUUGUGAGUUAAGUUGAAGCUUUUAAACGCUAGCGGUAUUUUUGUUAGUUCUUAAAUUUAAUAUUGGUGAGGUUCACAGUUUAAUGUUUUUGAAUUGAAAGGUAAUAUUGCUUAGGUUGUCUGUGUUUGGUUGGAUCUAUCCACAGUCGGCAUAUUGAGUAUCAAUUGGUAAAUUUAUUUUUAAUAUUAAAUCUCUCCACUCUCUAUUUGACAUUUUUAUCAUAAACCUACUAAGUCAAAACUAAUGCACAUUUUUUUCUAAUGCCAUUUUUUUCUAUUCUACUGUAUAAAAUAAGUUUAGAUAAUAAAGUUUUAUUAUAUUAUAAUGAGAAAUAACAAAGAUCUCAAAAGGUCUAAUAUGAUAUCCAUAAUAGAAUACCACUCACUAUUCUAACAUCAAGAUAUUAAUAAAGUGCCACUUAAAUACUUCUCCUUCCUCUCAAUUAAACAUUACCUUAGUUGUAACUAAUUAUUAUUUUAUAUAAUAAAUAAUAAUUAAUAUUAAAAAGUAAUAUAAUCAAUAGAAUUAAUUACUUGACUUUACAAUUGUAUAUUAUUUAUGGAAGGAUGUAAAUAAGGCCGUUGAUAAAAUAAAGUAUAUAUAUGAGACAAACAAAUUUAGAUAUCCAAUAAUUAAUCUAAUUAUUCUCUGAUACCCGUUUAUUAUUCGGAUCAAAAAUAAACAUAAUGUUAUAUUUUAUGCAAUUUUAUUUUUAUGCGUAUACUUUUCUACUAUCCAUUUUUAAUAUUUACAAAAAUUUAAAAGAGAAGUGGAUACAAGUUAGGUGUUUUCAUGGAAACUUAAAAUUGGAGAGUAUAUUUGGGUUGUGAGUUAAGUUGAAGCUUUUAAACGCUAGCGGUAUUUUGUUAGGUUCUUAAAAUUUAAUAUUGGUGAGGUUUCAGUUUAAUUUUUUGAAUUGAAAGGUAAUAUUGCUUAGGUUGUCUGUGUUUGGUUGGAUCUAUCCACAGUCGGCAUAUUGAGUAUCAAUUGGUAAAUUUAUUUUUAAUAUUAAAUCUCUCCACUCUCUAUUUGACAUUUUAUCAUAAAACCUACUAAGUCAAAACUAAUGCACAUUUUUUUCUAAUGCACUUUUUUUUCUAUUCUACUGUAUAAAAUAAGUUUAGAUAAUAAAGUUUUUAUUAUAUUAUAAUGAGAAAUAACAAAGAUCUCAAAAGGUCUAAUAUAUAUCCAUAAAGAAUACCACUCACUAUUCUAACAUCAGAUAUUAAUAAAGUGCCACUUAAAUACUUCUCCUUCCUCUCAAAUACAACAUUAACUUAGUUGUAACUAAUUAUUAUUUUAUAUAAUAAAUAAUAAUUAAUAAUUAAAAGUAAUAUAAUCAAUAGAAUUAAUUACUUGACUUUACUAUUGUAUAUUAUUUAUGGAAGGAUGAUAAAAUCAGGCCGUUGAUAAAAUAAAGUAUAUAUAUGAGACAAACAAAUUUAGAUAUCCACAAUAUUUAAUCUAAUUAUUUCUAUGAAUACCCGUUAUUUAUUCGGAUCAAAAAUAAACCUAAGUUAUUUUUUAUGCAAUUUAUAUGUUUUACGUAUACUUUUCUACUAUCCCAAUUUUAAUAUUUACAAAAAUUUAAAAGAGAAAGUGGAUACAAGUUAGUGUUUUCAUGGAAACAUUAAAAUUGGAGAGUAUAUUUGGGUUGUGAGUUAGUUGAAGCUUUUAAACGCUAGCGGUAUUUUGUUAGGUUCUUAAAAUUAAAUAUUGGUGAGGUUUCAGUUUAAUGUUUUGAAUUGAAAGGUAAUAUUGCUUAGGUUGUCUGUGUUUGGUUGGAUCUAUCCACAGUCGCAUAUUGAGUAUCAAUUGGUAAUUUAUUUUUAAUAUUAAAUCUCUCCACUCUCUAUUUGACAUUUUUAUCAUAAAACCUACUAAGUCAAAACUAAUGCACAUUUUUUUCUAAUGCACUUUUUUUUCUAUCUACUGUAUAAAAUAAGUUUAGAUAAAUAAGUUUUAUUAUAUUAUAAUGAGAAAUACAAAGAUCUCAAAAGGUCUAAUAUAUAUCCAUAAUAGAAUACACUCACUAUUCUAACAUCAAGAUAUUAAUAAAGUGCCACUUAAAUACUUCUCCUUCCUCUCAAAUAAACAUUACCUUAGUUGUAACUAAUUAUUAGUUUUAUAUAAUAAAUAAUAAUUAAUAACUUAAAAAGUAAUAUAAUCAAUAGAAUUAAUUACUUGACUUUACAUUGUAUAUUAUUUAUGGAAGGAUGAUAAAUAGGCCGUUGAUAAAAUAAAGUAUAUAUAUGAGACAAACAAAUUUAGAUAUCCAAUAAUUAAUCUAAUUAUUUCUCUGAAUACCCGUUUAUUAUUCGGAUCAAAAUAAACAUAAUGUUAUAUUUUUAUGCAAUUUUAUAUUUUAUGCGUAUACUUUUCUACUAUCCCAUUUUAAUAUUUACAAAAAUUUAAAAGAGAAAGUGGAAUACAAGUUAGGUGUUUUCAUGGAAACGUUAAAAUUGGAGAGUAUAUUUGGGUUGUGAGUUAAGUUGAAGCUUUUAAACGCUAGCGGUAUUUUUGUUAGGUUCUUAAAAUUUAAUAUUGGUGAGGUUUCAGUUUAAUUUUUUGAAUUGAAAGGUAAUAUUGCUUAGGUUGUCUGUGUUUGGUUGGAUCUAUCCACAGUCGGCAUAUUGAGUAUCAAUUGGUAAAUUUAUUUUUAAUAUUAAAUCUCUCCACUCUCUAUUUGACAUUUUUAUCAUAAACCUACUAAGUCAAAACUAAUGCACAUUUUUUCUAAUGCACUUUUUUUUCUAUUCUACUGUAUAAAAUAAGUUUAGAUAAUAAAUGUUUUAUUAUUUAUAAUGAGAAAUAACAAAGAUCUCAAAAGGUCUAAUAUGAUAUCCAUAAUAGAAUACCACUCACUAUUCUAACAUCAAGAUAUUAAUAAAGUGCCACUUAAAUACUUCUCCUUCCUCUCAAAUAAACAUUACCUUAGUUGUAACUAAUUAUUAUUUAUAUAAUAAAUAAUAAUUAAUAAUUAAAAAAGUAAUAUAAUCAUAGAAUUAAUUACUUGACUUUACAUAUGUAUAUUAUUUAUGGAAGGAUGACUAAAAUAGGCCGUUGAUAAAAUAAAGUAUAUAUAUGAGACAACACAUAUUAGAUACCCAAUAUUAAUCUAAUUAUUUCUUGAAUACCCGUUAUUAUUCGGAUCAAAAUAAACCUAAUGUUAUAUUUUAUGCAUUUAUAUGUUUAUCGUAUACUUUUCUACUAUCCCAAUUUUAAUAUUUACAAAAUUUAAGAGAAAGUGGAUACAAGUUAGUGUUUUCAUGGAAACAUUAAAUUGGAGAGUAUAUUUGGGUUGUGAGUUAGUUGAAGCUUUUAAACGCUAGCGGUAUUUUUGUUAGGUUCUUAAAAUUAAAUAUUGGUGAGGUUCAGUUUAAUGUUUGAAUUGAAAGGUAAUAUUGCUUAGGUUGUCUGUGUUUGGUUGGAUCUAUCCAAGUCGCAUAUUGAGUAUCAAUUGGUAAAUUUAUUUUUAAUAUUAAUCUCUCCACUCUCUAUUUGACAUUUUUAUCAUAAAACCUACUAAGUCAAAACUAAUGCACUUUUUUCUAAUGCACUUUUUUUUUCUAUUCUACUGUAUAAAAUAAGUUUAGAUAAUAAGUUUUAUUAUAUUAUAAUGAGAAAUAACAAAGAUCUCAAAAGGUCUAAUAUAUACCAUAAUAGAAUACCAUCACUAUUCUAACAUCAAGAUAUUAUAAAGUGCCACUUAAAUACUUCUCCUUCCUCUCAAUAAACAUUACCUAGUUGUAACUAAUUAUUAUUUUAUAUAAUAAAUAAUAAUUAAUAAUUAAAAGUAAUAUAAUCAAUAGAAUUAAUUACUUGACUUUACAAUUGUAUAUUAUUUAUGGAAGGAUGAUAAAAUAGGCCGUUGAUAAAAUAAAGUAUAUAUAUGAGACAAAAAUUUAGAUUACCCAAUAUUAAUCUAAUUAUUUCUAUGAAUACCCGUUAUUUAUUCGGAUCAAAUAAACCUAAUGUUAUAUUUUUAUGCAAUUUUAUAUGUUAUCGUAUACUUUUCUACUAUCCAAUUUUAAUAUUUACAAAAAUUUAAAAGAGAAAGUGGAUACAAGUUAGUGUUUUCAUGGAAACAUUAAAAUUGGAGAGUAUAUUUGGGUGUGAGUUAAGUUGAAUCUUUAACAUACGUAUUUUUGUUAGGUUCUUAAAUUUAAUAUUGGUGAGGUUUCAGUUUAAUGUUUGAAUUGAAAUAAUAUUGCUUAGGUUUGUCUGUGUUUGGUUGGAUCUAUUCACAGUCGGCAUAUUGAGUAUCAAUUGGUAAAUUUAUUUUAAUAUUAAAUCUCUCCACUCUCUAUUUGACAUUUUUAUCAUAAACCUACUAAGUCAAAACUAAUGCACAUUUUUUUCUAAUGCACUUUUUUUUCUAUUCUACUGUAUAAAAUAAGUUUAGAUAAUAAAGGUUUUUUUUAUUAUAAUGAGAAUAAAAGAUCUCAAAAGGUCUAAUAUAAUAUCCAUAAUAGAUACCACUCACUA
rnacentral:lncRNA from 1 species